CAUAUUUUACAUCACGUAAAAAGGUAAAAUAAGAAUAAAUAUUUUUAUUUUAAUUCUUAAUAAUAUUUAAACGAAGAAAUAAAUUUAAAAUACAUUUCUAAGACCCGUGUUCAAAUUCAAUUCUAAUUCAAACGAAUAAAGAUACUUUGGAAUUUGUGGGGAUUGAUAGAAAUUAAACUGGCAAUACUAUAUCGUUGACUUGCACUGCAGAGUGCCUACCGCGAACCACAUUCGACGUGUUGCCUCCCUGUCACAUUUACGUGCGAAGUUACAAGUGCGACAGAGAGGCAACACGUCAAUGGUGGUUCGCGGUAGGCCCUCUCCUCUGUUUCGGAACGGAACAUACUGUGGUGUCUGUGGUUAGUGUGGUUUCGUUUCGGUAUGUGACUCCUGCGUAUGCGCUCCUUUUUAUUCAUUGUUUUGUUUUUUUGUUAUUUGACUUCGGCAUUCUCUACGGACUUACGAUUGCUCCACGAUACGGAUUUGUUGACAAGGGAUAACGACAACAAGGCACACUGAACGGACAAAGAAACGCAAAAAACAUGGCUCCUGCCCGGCGCUGUCAAUACAUAAAUUGCCUAAAUACAAGCGGAACUCAUUCAUUAUUCCGUUUUCCAGUAAAGGAUACAAAUCGUCUACGAACAUGGAUAAACAAUUCAGGAACUGCAGUUGAAGUGACACCUGAUACAUCACCACAAAAAUUAAA